rnacentral:rRNA from 1 species
UAGAGUUUGAUCCUGGCUCAGGAUGAACGCUGGCGGCGUGCCUAAUACAUGCAAGUCGAACGCACAGCGAAAGGUGCUUGCACCUUUCAAGUGAGUGGCGAACGGGUGAGUAACACGUGGAUAACCUACCUCGAGGUUGGGGAUAACAUUUGGAAACAGAUGCUAAUACCGAAUAAAACUUAGUAUCGCAUGAUACCAGGUUAAAAGGCGCUAUGGCGUCACCUAGAGAUGGAUCCGCGGUGCAUUAGUUAGUUGGUGGGGUAAAGGCUUACCAAGACAAUGAUGCAUAGCCGAGUUGAGAGACUGAUCGGCCACAUUGGGACUGAGACACGGCCCAAACUCCUACGGGAGGCUGCAGUAGGGAAUCUUCCACAAUGGGCGAAAGCCUGAUGGAGCAACGCCGCGUGUGUGAUGAAGGCUUUCGGGUCGUAAAGCACUGUUGUAUGGGAAGAACAGCUAGAGUAGGGAAUGACUUUAGUUUGACGGUACCAUACCAGAAAGGGACGGCUAAAUACGUGCCAGCAGCCGCGGUAAUACGUAUGUCCCGAGCGUUACCCGGAUUUAUUGGGCGUAAAGCGAGCGCAGACGGUUAAUUAAGUCUGAUGUGAAAGCCCGGAGCUCAACUCCGGAAAGGCAUUGGAAACUGGUUAACUUGAGUGCAGUAGAGGUAAGUGGAACUCCAUGUGUAGCGGUGGAAUGCGUAGAUAUAUGGAAGAACACCAGCGGCGAAGGCGGCUUACUGGACUGUAACUGACGUUGAGGCUCGAAAGUGUGGGUAGCAAACAGGAUUAGAUACCCUGGUAGUCCACACCGUAAACGAUGAACACUAGGUGUUAGGAGGUUUCCGCCUCUUAGUGCCGAAG